AGCUUUGCUGCUGAUGACGUUUCUCUGUCUGUGUCAGUUUCUCCAUCUCACGCCAUCACACACUCUUCUCAAAGGUGUUUCUCUCAUCCAGGGUGAGAAUGGGAUCCGAUUCACAAGGGACCAGAAAGAUGCACCGAUGCAGACGGCAGGGCGGUCACGUGACGUCAGGGCGAGACGUGAUGAAGUCGGAGGCAGAGAAGAGGAUUUAACCCCAUCAGACCUGAAAGAGCCGAGGAGAGUGAGGAUGGAGAACCACGUAUGCAGUCCAUGGCUUCUCCAGCCUGCGUGCUGCUCCAACCCUACAGACAGUGGUGGAGCUGGGACCAGCUUCAUGCAGCGCCUCCGUGUGCAGCACAGCAAUGAUUUGAUGAGGAGCUGAUGGACGUCUCCCUCUUCUUUUCACCUUCAGUUCUCAGGGGGUUUCUUGCAGAUUCACUGCAUUGGUGCAAAAAGAAAAAGUGAUGAGGCUUCGCUUGGUGAGUGAGGACAGGAGGGACACAGAACAGUUCACGGCGUCAGAGAGGAAAGGAAAGGAAGGAGGUCGUUGGCACCGAGCAGCGUCAAGGUCCCACUGGGCGUCACGCACGGCCGAGCACAGAACAAUCCAACCGAUCGGAGUCAGGCCCAGCCUCUGCUUCUUCGCUGCAAAUGCAUUCACCAGCAGGAAAAUGAGCGACCGAGGCCCAGACGCACACACCGAGACUGGGCUCAGAGCAGCGAGGAAACCACCGGCUGGACUGGACUCACGUCUCACGUGACGAACAGAGGGAACGACAGCAGGAAGACGCUUCAGCCAUUUGUCACGAAGACGAAGACGACGUUGUUACGCAAAUGACCCGUUUACAUUUAAAUGAUCAUUUCCUUUAUUUUUAUGCUGCUGUGUUUAACACCAAAUCAAUAAAUUCUUUAUGUUAAUUAUGUUAACAAUAAUAUAGAUAUAAAUAUAUUAAUAUAUAGACUCUU